UACGUAGGGGGCAAGCGUUGUCCGGAAUCAUUGGGCGUAAAGAGCUCGUAGGCGGCUCAGUAAGUCGGGUGUGAAAACUCUGGCUCAACCCAGAGACGCCACCCGAUACUGCUGUGACUUGAGUACGGUAGGGGAGUGGGGAAUUCCUGGUGUAGCGGUGAAAUGCGCAGAUAUCAGGAGGAACACCAGUGGCGAAGGCGCCACUCUGGGCCGUAACUGACGCUGAGGAGCGAAAGCGUGGGUAGCAAACAGG
rnacentral:rRNA from 1 species